rnacentral:tRNA from 1 species
UGCGGGGUAGAACAGCUAGGUAGCUCGCUAGGCUCAUAACCUGGAGGUCACAGGUUCGAAUCCUGUCCCCGCUA